rnacentral:rRNA from 1 species
GGAAUUGUUCGCAAUGGGCGCAAGCCUGACGACGCAACGCCGCGUGGAGGAUGAAGGUCUUCGGAUUGUAAACUCCUGUUGAUGGGGAAGAACAGGUAUCGGAUUAAUACUCCGGUGCACUGACGGUACCCGUUGAGGAAGCCACGGCUAACUCUGUGCCAGCAGCCGCGGUAAUACAGAGGUGGCAAGCGUUGUUCGGAAUUACUGGGCGUAAAGGGCGCGUAGGCGGCCUUCUAAGUCAGACGUGAAAUCCCCAGGCUUAACUUGGGAACUGCGUCUGAUACUGGGAGGCUUGAAUGCGGGAGAGGGAUGUGGAAUUCCAGGUGUAGCGGUGAAAUGCGUAGAUAUCUGGAGGAACACCGAUGGCGAAGGCAGGUCUCUGGGCUGACACUGACGCUCAUGCACGAAAGCGUGGGGAGCAAAC